rnacentral:sRNA from 1 species
AAUGUUCGAUCUGCUGCGGGCAGAUGAAAUGGAUGUGGCUGUCGAUGCCGCCGGCGGUGACGAUCAAACCUUCGCCCGCGAUGACCUCGGUGCCGGGGCCGAUGACGAUGUCCACGCCCGACUGCACGUCCGGGUUACCGGCCUUGCCGAUGGCCGCAAUGCGGCAGCCGCGCACGCCGAUGUCGGCCUUGACGAUGCCCCAGUGGUCCACGAUGAGCGCGUUGGUGAUCACCAGGUCCACCGCGUCGCCCGGCCCGGGGCCGUUGACCCGUUGGCUCUGACCCAUGCCGUCGCGGAU